rnacentral:rRNA from 1 species
CCCCUAGAUGUUCUGAGCCGCACGCGCGCUACACUGAACAGUUCAACAAGUCUUAACCUUGGCCGAUAGGUCUGGGUAAUCUUUGAACGCUGUUCGUGAUUGGGAUAGACCUUUGCAAUUAUGGGUCUUCAACGAGGAAUUCCUAGUAAACGCAAGUCAUCAGCUUGCAUUGAUUACGUCCCUGCCCUUUGUACACACCGCCCGUCGCACCUACCGAUUGAAUGGUCCGGUGAAAUCUCGGGACGGCGGCUUGGUCGCUUGCGUCCGACUGCUGAAACUUGAUUAAACCAUAUCAUUUAGAGGAAGGUGAAGUCGUAACA